rnacentral:lncRNA from 1 species
UGGGUGCAUUCUUUCCUUUACCUGAUUUUUCACUAACUUAAUGCAAAGUAAAGUUCAUUCUCUCUACCUUCACCUAUUUCAAUCUCUUCUCCUCUUGCAUGCAUUUGGUUAAUAUUAACUAUCCAAUCCUUAUUGUAUGAAUUAUAAGAGAUUUUAAAAAGAUCACACUCUAAUGAAAAAAAGAGAGAAUAAAGUAGGCCAAGAACAUAUCUAAUAUAAAAAUCUUAAUAUCAUUUAACUACAUUAUAAUUUUCCUCAUCUCUAUAAAAUACUCACGUAUGCUGACCUUUGUCCUGUCAAAGCUUAAUUGCUACUCCAUAACAUCCAUGAGAUUACCUGCUUUAUGAUAUAGAGGGAUGGAUCUCCUAAUAUACCACAUUAGAUUUCUUUAGGAACAAACUGAGGUGAUUGGAACACUCUCAUUUAUCUAAAAAAUUCUUCUAUUUUGAUAUACUUUCAUUCAUAAAUAGUAAAAAUUCAUCCACUCAGAAUAUCAAAUCAAGGUCAAC